CUAAAUCGGAUUAAAGAAAAACUUACUUCCUGAAACAUCAAACAAAACAUGUGAGUUUUCUAAGGAGUAAUAAUUAUUGCACAACACACGCAGUCACACAAAUAUGUAAACAUGUCAAUCUAGUCAUCCGACUAGUUAUAUGUUCACGCAGCCAGUCACACAAAUGGCAAAUCACCAGCACUCACAAUCAUUAACAUCUUCAUAUAUUCACAUCACGUGGAAAUUGGUCAGUGGCGUCACCGAAACCCCGAUGAGCCGUCCUCCCACAUGGCUCAUCCUCUCACGCGUGCACCAGGGAGCCGAUCCCCCAUCCUGGCCGACCGGUCUAAU
rnacentral:lncRNA from 1 species